rnacentral:rRNA from 1 species
AUGGCGAAGCUGAAGCCCGUCCCUCCGACGGCUACUCCUCGAGGUCAGAAGAGGCGCCGUGAGAAGCCCCAAAGGCCGGCGCUUGACGACGAUCUUCCUGACUCUUCAGCUGGAAUCAUAGCAGCAAAGGCUGCUCGACGUGAGAAACCAUCCAAUGAGAUCCCUCAAGUCCUACAUCAGAAUGAUGACGAUGACUCAGAUGAUUGCAAUGUUUCCAGUGAGGAUGAGGCACAUGAUAUGAUAAGCAAUAAAAGUGAUGCUUUUGAUGAAAUGGAGUCGUCAUGUUCAUUUCAGCGUCAUGUUACUCACGUGCUAGCAAAUGAUGAAGUCAAUGCAUUAGUGAAUCAGAAGAGUAAAUUUAAAUGGGAGAUGCCUGCAGAGGAGAUUCCAAAAUCCAAAUGGGUUGGAACAGGUGAAAAAAUUAAGGGAGCUUCUGAUGACCCUUUUGUUGAUGUCAAAGGAAAAUUGAAGGACCACUGGCAAAAAAUCCUCUCUGAUGAUUUGAAUUAUAGAUCGAGGUUCUUCUCACUUUGUAAUAGCUAUCGUGACAUAAUGCAUUGUAAUAAGAAGCCAUUUUAUCUCAAGGGUAGUAAGGUGGAUUCCAGUACUAUGGACGCAUAUCUUAUGCAUGCUUUGAGCCAUGUUCAUAGGACAAGAGAUGUUGUCAUUAAGAAUGAUGCGAAGCUUAGGAAUGAUGCUAACACAGAUGUUAUGGAGGACGACUCAUACCGCGAUCAGGGUUUUACACGUCCAAAGGUUCUUUUCUUGUUACCUCUCAAAAGCAUUGCACGACGCAUUGUGAAGAGAUUAAUUCAAUUAUCUCCGCUGGCACAAAAGGAUAAUUCUAUGGGACAAUUCAAGAAAGAGUUUGGCGAAUCAGAUGAUGAACUGGAGGAGCCAAAUAGUUCAAAACCAACAGACUUUAACCUUCUGUUUGCUGGGGAUGUUGAAGAUCACUUUCUUUUUGGAAUAAAAUUUACAAAGAAAUCUGUUAAGCUAUACAGCAAUUUCUACGCUUCUGAUAUCAUAGUUGCGUCUCCUUUAGCGCUUAAACUUAAAAUUGAUGGAGGUGAAGUUACCAAGAAAAAGGGACGUCCCAAGGAAAACGAUUCUGAUUUCCUGUCAUCAAUUGAAAUAGUGGUGGUUGAUUACGCAGAUGUGAUAUCUAUGCAGAAUUGGUCGCAUCUGCAUGCUGUUCUUGAACAACUAAAUCAUUUGCCAUCAAAAGAGCAUGUAACCAAUGUGAUGCGGAUCAGGCCAUGGUACCUGGAUGAGCAAGCACGGUACUAUCGGCAAACAAUAAUCUUAAGUUCGUAUCUUACGCCAGAGAUGAAUGCUUUGUUCAACGGAUUAUGUCUAAAUUACGAGGGGAAGGUUAAGCUGGCGAGUGAGUUUACAGGUGUUCUUCCCAAAAUACAGCUUGAAAUACGGCAGGUGUAUGAACGAUUUGAUGCAUCUUCUAUUGGUGAACUUGAUGAUGCCCGCUUUGAAUAUUUCUGCACAAAGGUGUACCCAAAGAUUCAGGAGUCAGAUGAGGGCGGAGUGUUGCUAUUUGCCAGUUCCUAUUUUGAAUACAUUAGGCUGAGCAGUUUUUUGAAAUCUCAGGAUGCUUCUUUCUGUAGAAUUGGGGAGGCGACGUCACAACAGGAUAUAUCUCGUGCAAGACUCUGGUUCUUUGAGGGCCAGAAGAAGAUCUUGCUUUAUAGUGAGAGAUCUCACUUCUUCCACAGAUACAAGAUCAGGGGAGGACAUCAUUUGGUCGUCUACUCAUUGCCAGGGAGAAAAGAUUUCUAUCCAGAGCUUGUAAAUAUGCUCGGUGAAUCAGGAAAUCCCAGGUGCAAUGUGCUUUUUUCUCGCCUGGACCUCCUUAAGCUGGAGCGGAUCGUUGGAACGUCGUCUGCACGGAGGCUGAUUUCUUCUGACAAGGAUAUGUUUGUCUUCUGCUGA